rnacentral:piRNA from 1 species
UAGCUUACGAGUUUGGCCUGAGUUUUAGA